UACGGGGGGGGCAAGCGUUGUUCGGAAUUACUGGGCGUAAAGGGCUCGUAGGCGGCCAACUAAGUCAGACGUGAAAUCCCUCGGCUUAACCGGGGAACUGCGUCUGAUACUGGAUGGCUUGAGUUUGGGAGAGGGAUGCGGAAUUCCAGGUGUAGCAGUGAAAUGCGUAGAUAUCAGGAGGAACACCGAUGGCGAAGGCAGGUCUCUGGGCUGACACUGACGCUCAUGCACGAAAGCGUGGGGAGCAAACAGG
rnacentral:rRNA from 1 species